GACGAACCGUACGAACGUUAUUCGGAAUCACUGGGCUUAAAGGGUGCGUAGGCUGUGCGGAAAGUUGGGUGUGAAAUACCUCGGCUCAACCGAGGAACUGCAUUCAAAACUACCGUGCUCGAGGGAGACAGAGGUAAGCGGAACUUAGGGUGGAGCGGUGAAAUGCGUUGAUAUCCUAAGGAACACCGGUGGCGUAAGCGGCUUACUGGGUCUCUUCUGACGCUGAGGCACGAAAGCUAGGGUAGCGAACGGG
rnacentral:rRNA from 1 species